AGAUUGAACGCUGGCGGCAUGCCUAACACAUGCAAGUCGAACGGGAGUAGCAAUACUCUAGUGGCGGACGGGUGAGGAAUACGUAGGAAUUUGCCCUUAAGUGGGGGAUAACCCGGGGAAACCCGGAUUAAUACCGCAUGACCUCGAAAGAGCAAAGUGGGGGAUCGCAAGACCUCACGCUUUUGGAGAAGCCUACGUCGGAUUAGCUAGUUGGUGAGGUAAUGGCUCACCAAGGCGACGAUCCGUAACUGGUCUGAGAGGAUGAUCAGUCACACCGG
rnacentral:rRNA from 1 species